GGGAGGAUUAUCAACAGGUUUGCCAAGGAUAUAGGGGACAUCGAUAGAAGUGUUGCACCCUUUGUAAGCAUGUUCCUGGGCCAGGUGUUUCAGCUUAUCUCAACAUUUGUCCUAAUUGGUAUAGUGAGUACCAUGUCUUUAUGGGCAAUAAUGCCGUUGUUGGUCCUUUUCUACGGAGCCUAUUUAUAUUAUCAGAGCACUGCUCGUGAGGUGAA
rnacentral:misc_RNA from 1 species